UCCAGAAAAACAUUAAUCCAAAAAGGCAAGCUCUCAGGUGAAUUACUUUAAUCUGAGUAUAUUUCCUAAUACAACAAUUUGCAGCAAUGAUGUUGUCAAUGAAGAAUGUGUUUCCUUACUGGGACUUGUGCAAGAAGAGAGUGAUUUAGAGCUUAUGGCCAGUGAAAGAACAAAAUGACUUCUGCUCUGCUGGAACCCAGAGAUGAAGUGUGCUGACUUCUGGACUAACUUAUCACCACAAUUGGAGACCUAACUUACCCUCACAGACUUUGAGAACAAGGACCACACCCUUGUAUUCCCAGUACCAAAUGCUCUGUGCCUCUCACAGAGGGGUGCUGAAUAAAUAGGCAAAUGAAGGAA